CUCACUACCACAACUCAUGCAAGCAGAAAAAAAAAAAAACACGAAAAGCCGACACAAUCAAUCAGGAAAUCCCGAAAAAAAUAUCAUUCACAUAAUACCAACCAUUGACAAUCUAUCAACUUGAUUGAACUAUAUGGAAAAACAAACCAUCGACAGGAAAUUCAAGACUGCAUAAUACACAAUCUCCGAGUCGCAGAAUGCUAUCAAAUUCAAAUUUGAUCAUUUAUCUGGUCUUCAAUUUAGCAUCCCGGUUCGAUUUAAACUCAGUGGAAUACAAGCAUAUUAGUUUACCUUGUGGAAAUGCUCAUAGUACAGUAGUCUGGGUUAUUAUAGGUGUUGGUAUUGGUAUAUGUACUAAUUCGGGAUGAUGGUGUUUAUUCAUGAGACUUUUCACAUAAUCUUUAUAAAUUGGCAUGGCCAUGAGUAUCUUUAUUACUAAAGCUUGUCCGGUCAAGCUAUUAGUAACCCUAAUUCUUAACCUAAUAUUUUCCCUCCACUAAUCAAACAUUUAAUUCUCUUGAGUGGUUUUCCUUAUCAGCAUUUCACUCAACAAUUCAAGUUUUCAUCCCACAAAAUUCCAAUUCUGCCGAUCCAUUAUUCUCCUACUGUAUUUAAUGCAUUUAAUCAUCUGUAUUGUUUUCUCCCAAAUCCUACGCCAGUUUCAAUUCUAGCAGCCCUUUUAUUUUCCCAACAUGCCAAUUAUGCUCCCUUUGCAUAUUAAAACUCCACCAUAAUUAAAACAGACAGUAUAGCUUAAUAGUAGAUCUCUUGAGAGUUUUUCUUUUUUCCUGUGAAGGUUUGGUGGCAAAUUAGCUUUAACAAUUAAGUGCAUAUUUCUGUUUUCAUCCCAUUUAGUUUAAGGUUCAGAUUGGACAUAUUUGGUUCGCUCCCGACAAAAAUAACUGAACAAGGACGAGCUUAUUUAAUAUGGUUUAGGAAUCACUGCAACAGAGGUUGAGAAAGUUUCUAAUUGUACAUAUGACAUGAAUUGUGGUCUAGACUAGCAAAUCAAAGGAAUAGAAAAAAAUGUGAUUAAGUCAUCCCACAGCUGCCCAAUAUGUUGCAGAAUAUUAUAGAACAUGAAAGCGAUGGAGAUAUUUCCUUCUUCAUAUGUAAAGCAACAAAGAUUUUUCAUCUAUUAUAUGAAAAUUAUUGUGGACACAGUGAACAACAAUGGAGAUCUUUCCAUCUUUAUAAUGGCCCUAACACAGUAACACAAUAAUUAGAUCCUUAGUAGUUAAGGAGUUAGUAAAUGUGCUUUAGCAACAAAGUUGUGAGUUAUCUAUGGAAAGAAGAUGGCUUGACAAAGGGAUCAAAAUAGGCUCUCUCAUAAGACUUCAUAUUAUAUUUGUUUGUGGCUUAUGCCUUAGGCUAUGAUUUUUUUUUUUUUUUAAAACUUGAAGCAAUGCUGCUCUUUUUUCUCAACAUUUGUGUCUUUUCACUGAUUAGUUACGAAACAUUUCGAUCUAAAUUGAGUAUUUAUCUUGCUUA